rnacentral:rRNA from 1 species
AACGAACGCUGGCGGCGUGCUUAAUACAUGCAAGUCGUGCGAGAAAGUGGAAGCAAUUCCAUAAGUAAAGCGGCAAACGGGUGAGUAACACGUAAGGAAUCUGCCUUCAAGUCCGGAAUAGCUCUGCUAACGCGGAAUUAAUGCUGGAUGUGGUCCUGCGGACGCAUGUCUGUUUGACUAAAGAUGACCUCUUCGUCUGAAAGUUAUCGCUUGGAGAUGACCUUGCGGCUCAUUAGCUAGUUGGUGAGGUAACGGCCCACCAAGGCUUUGAUGGGUAGCCGGCCUGAGAGGGUGACCGGCCACAUUGGGACUGAGAUACGGCCCAGACUCCUACGGGAGGCUG